ACACUUACCUGGCAGAGGAGAGCCCACGAUCACGAAGGCGGCUCUCCCAGGGUGGGGCUCGUCCAUUGCUCCAGAUGUGCUGAGCCUGCGGUCUCCCCAGACGUGGGAACCUCGCCUGCAUCGUCUGUGGUCGUGGGGGAUCGUGUUUGCUUUUUCCCCUA
ensembl:snRNA U1 U1 spliceosomal RNA